rnacentral:rRNA from 1 species
UACGGAGGGUGCAACCGUUGCUCGGAAUCAUUGGGCGUAAAGCGCACGUAGGCGGCCUGUUAAGUCGGGUGUGAAAUCCCUGGGCUCAACCCAGGAAGUGCACUCGAAACUGGCAGGCUUGAGUACUGAAGAGGGUCGCGGAAUUCCCGGUGUAGAGGUGAAAUUCGUAGAUAUCGGGAGGAACACCAGUGGCGAAGGCGGCGACCUGGGCAGAUACUGACGCUGAGGUGCGAAAGCGUGGGGAGCAAACAGG